GACGAACGCUGGCGGCGUGCUUAACACAUGCAAGUCGAACGGAAAGGCCCUGCUUUUGUGGGGUGCUCGAGUGGCGAACGGGUGAGUAACACGUGAGUAACCUGCCCUUGCCUUUGGGAUAACUUCAGGAAACUGGGGCUAAUACCGGAUAGGAGCUCCUGCUGCAUGGUGGGGGUUGGAAAGUUUCGGCGGUUUGGGAUGGACUCGCGGCAUAUCAGCUUGUUGGUGGGGUAGUGGCUUACCAAGGCGUUGACGAGUAGCCGGCCUGAGAGGGUGACCGGCCACAUUGGGACUGAGAUACGGCCCAGACUCCUACGGGAGGAAGCAGUGGGGAAUAUUGCACAAUGGGCGGAAGCCUGAUGCAGCAACGCCGCGUGCGGGAUGACGGCCUUCGGGUUGUAAACCGCUUUCGCCUGUGACGAAGCGUGAGUGACGGUAAUGGGUAAAGAAGCACCGGCUAACUACGUG
rnacentral:rRNA from 1 species